GCUCCUCGAUGCUCCGCCGCUCGCGGCUGGGGGGUCCGGGGCCGCGUCUCCUCUCCUCCCUCCGCCUCUCCUCUUUCCUCCUUCCUGCUGCCUCUUCUUUUAAAGCGGAUUCUUUGGCCACAAAUAGCAACUCGGCUGCCCCCCUCGGUGCCUCCCUCCCCUUCUCUUCUUCCCCCCAAAAGUGAAGCGCACGCGAGGUAAAGAAACGAAGACCCUGAGAAUUUAAAAUCAUCCAACUAUUUGGUGCCAGAAGCAGGACAAGAACUCAGACAUCAUGAUCCAGUGCCCUCCAUCCCACCAGCUAUUCAUCAUCACCUCCACAUUCUGGAUCAAAGAAGCCAGUUUUCCAACUUAUCAAUGAGCAAUACAUAUAGAAUAUUUUUAAAACUCCAAAUACUUUUAUGAAGGAAAAAUGAAGCAAUAGGACAAGACAUUUUCUUCGUUUCCUUCCAGCUCUAACAUUCUGUGAUAAAUAGCACACAGGAGCUUUGCUAUAGCACUACCCCCUCUAGUGCAUAAUUCAGCAUACGAUGAGUAUGAGUCUGUUUUGGACCCCAUCCAAAGGAGUUAGUUCCUAGAAGUACUUGGAAGAUUUAUUCUCAUUUAUCAUGAGGCAUCCUAACAGGAGACUAAAAAUAAUCACGAUGACAAUAAUAGUAAUCAGUUGUUACACUUGUAUUAUGUACUAAGCAUCGUGCUAAGCAUGUUAAAGUUCACCUGUUUUUGAAAAGGCACUUCAUGACCUUAUGUGGGUUGCGAAUCUAGUGGGUCAUAAACAAUUUCUGAAAUGAAAGAAAAGUAGGAAAAAACACAGAGUGCAUUAUACAUACUAAGUUGUUUUAUUUUUUAUUUUUUUAUUUUUUUUGCAAAACUUCCUUUUUGAUCAUGUGGCUAGUGAUUAAAAGUUUGGAAGCACUGCCUCGUUUCCAAUCUUAACUGCCUUGCUAGUUAAGUAUUAUUAGCCCCAUUAUAUAAGUGAGGAAACAGGACGAGAGAGGAUAAGUAAUUUGGCCAAGCUGACACAGUGAGUGGCCAAGCUAGAAUUUUGAACCUAGAUCUGUUUGACUUCAAAUCCAAUAUUUUCACUUCUAUAGUGAUGAUAAAUUAUUGACCAAGGUAUGGAAUAAAUUGUUGCUAAUCAUGUUUUCUUUGUGAG
rnacentral:lncRNA from 1 species